rnacentral:rRNA from 1 species
UACGUAGGGUGCAAGCGUUGUUCGGAAUCACUGGGCUUAAAGGGCGCGUAGGCGGACUAUCAAGUCUGGGGUGAAAUCCCGCGGCUCAACCGUGGAACUGCCUCAGAUACUGACGGUCUCGAGGGAGGUAGGGGCAUGCGGAACUGUAGGUGGAGCGGUGAAAUGCGUUGAUAUCUACAGGAACUCCGGUGGCGAAAGCGGCGUGCUGGACCUCUUCUGACGCUGAGGCGCGAAAGCUAGGGGAGCAAACGGG